UUNUACAAGCGNCUGCGAAUGGCUCAUUAUAUAAGUUAUCGUUUAUUUGAUAGUACCUUACUACAUGGAUAACCGUGGUAAUUCUAGAGCUAAUACAUGCUGAAAAUCCCGACUUCGGAAGGGAUGUAUUUAUUAGAUUCAAAACCAAUGCCCUUCGGGGCUCCAAUGGUGAUUCAUGAUAACUUCUCGAAUCGCACGGCCCCGCGCCGGCGAUGGUUCAUUCAAAUUUCUUCCCUAUCAACUUUCGAUGCUACGGUAGUGUCCUAGCAUGGUUGCAACGGGUAACGGGGANUNAAAUNGAAUGAUCCAUCGCCGGCGCGGGGNGCGAUUCGAGAAGNUGAUUCCUUUGGNGNGAAGGGNGGUU
rnacentral:rRNA from 1 species